CCCAGAUGCAGAGAAGUGCCGGGGGCUGUCACAGAGAACAGGCCGGACCGGAAGGAGGUGACAGCCCCCCAGAGGGCCCCUUUGAAGUGAGAACCUCAGCUGGUCAAAGCGCAGGGUCUAAACAUUCGCCAGGAUGUGUAGCCCAAAUCCUCAAAUCUCACUGAGUGGAAACAGCACUCAGAGCCCAGCAAAGGGACAGUGACAGGAUGGCCUGGACCCUUCGAAGAGGCCAAUGUCACUCACCACAAAGGAAGGCUGAGGAACACUCCAGACGGAAGGAAAUGAAAGAGACGGGACAGCGAUGGGUCCCAGAUGGGGGCGGGGCGGGGGGAUCUGGUUAAAGAGAACAACGGGCAAAAACAGGACCCAAAGAGCGGACUGCACAACACGGCUGGCUCGGCGGCCCGCGAGGUGCGUUUGGCAACUGCCCUGGGGUUAUGCAAAGGAAGAGCCUUCUUCCAAAACACACGCCAAGGUGUCCAGGGCCAAAGAAGCACAGGGAAUGUGGUUCCCACUUUCCACGGCUUUCGGGACAAAACGAACAAGAGUGUGUGUGUAGAGUUUGGGUAUAACUGGGCCACUCUCUAGAACUGGCUCAUUUUCCAGAUGAAGAAACUGAGGCUCCCACACAGAAGACUUUAUUUGCUCAGGUGGCCCGUAAAAAAGAGAAAUAGAACAACAACAACAAAAGGAAAUGGGGUAAAAGAUUAAAAGUCGGUGAGUUUGGACAUAGGUUUCUCGACAUUCUUUUUGCCACUUUUCUUAGAAAUUUGACAUUUUCGUCAAAAUGAGAAGUUCGGCUGGCUCUGGGCCAAGCUCCCUGGAUUUGCCCCUAGCUUUGCCCCCCCUUGGCUGUGCAACCUGGAGCGAGUUACUUUCCCUCUCUGUGCCUCGGUUUCUAUGAGCAGGAAAGAAACACUGGAAUAAGAAUAACCGCGUCCCGGGCCAGGGGUGAUCUGCCUGCACACGCUUGUGGCCUCACAUUGCACAGCCGACCUGGGUUCCGAAGGCACUUAAAUACUCUCAUCAUUGUCCCUGCUUCCAGGGCUGUUUCAGGAUCUACGAGCCUAAAACAUCAAAUGCUCAGUCGAUGCUGUUAGCAUCACCGUGAGCAACCCAAAACCGUGAAAUUGUGAAAAUGUAUGCCGCGUCUUUCUAGUUUUUACAAAGCAAAGAACAUGGGUUCUCCCUCAACCUGUGUGUCCAGGGCCAUCUAGCAGGGGGCUGCUCCCAGUUUCUUUAGAACAGGAAAAUGAUUGAAAAUUGACUGUGGGGAUGGUUGUCCAAAUCUGGGGGUACAGGAAGAAGCCUUGGAUGGUGCUAUACACGGGGGAACUGCAUGGUAAUCACGUCUCAUAAAACCAUUUAAAGAAGAGCAUCAGAGGAGGCCUAAGGAGGGAGCAAGGAGGCCAGGGUGCCUGCAAAAGAGAGGAGGCGGCGUUGAGAGGUACCCGGGCUGGGAUACAGGCUGGUGCGGAGAUCACACAGCCUCACAUUAGCUGGUGCCUCAGUUAGCUGCCCGCCACUUGGGAAAGCCAGCAGCAUCUCUGCAAAGAUCCCAGGGUGGCGCCUUUGCCAGCGUUACAGAAUACACGGGCUGUGAACAACGGGAAUCGACGCCCACAUUGGGAGAAAAAGUUCCCAACGCACCUGUCGGACAAAGGACAUAGAUGGCGAAUGUACAAAGAAAUCCUACGACUCAACAAUAACACAAACGGCCCAACGCUCAACAUCUUUAAUCACAGGGAAAUUGAAACGAAGACCAGAAGUGGCGGCCACGACACACCCACGGGAAAAGGAGAAAGACUGACAACCGAGAGCGGCGGUGAGGCCGUGGUGCAAGCGGCACUCUCAAGGCCUGGCAGGGAAAUGCUAAGCGUCACAGGCGAACAACCGCACUGCCAUUUGAAAUAAAGGUAAACACACCCCUCCCUGACCCAGCCGCGCGGCACCUACGGAUUUGCCCAAGAGAAGUAAUGGCACGUGUUCACCCAAAGAUCAGGACACAAGGGCUCACAGUCGCUUGAGUGGCCCAAAGGUCCGCCAGCAGGUGAGUGGACAGGCAAACCGUGACGGGUCUGCUCGGCAACCAAGAGCAACAAACCACUGAGAUGCGCGACGGAGACGAACCUCAAAAUCACUGUGCUGGAGUCCCCGUUGCGGCUCAGCGGUUAACGAAUCUGACUAGCAUCCAUGAGGACGCAGGUUCGAUCCCCGCCUUCACUCGGCGGGUUAAGGAGCUGGUGUUGCUGUGAGCUGUGGUGUAGGUCGCAGACACAGCUCGGAUCUGGUGUUGCUGUGCCUGUGGUGUAGGCCGGCAGCUGCAGCUACGAUGUGACCCUUAGCCUGGGAACCUCCAUAUGCCUGGUGUGCAGCCCUAAAAAGCAAAAAAAAAAAAAAAAAAAAAAAAAAAAGAAGGUUUAUUUGGAAAGAAGCCCCCAAACUGAAACCAUUUACCUCUAGGAAGAGGACGUGGCUACAGACUGCUGGGGGUUGGGGGAGGAAGAAAGACUUCAUUAGAAAUCUUUGAUAUUUGAGUUUGAUACUGGGGCAUGUUGUUCCCUAUUUUUUUUAAUAAAUUGUUUUUUGGCCAGGCCCGGCAUAUGGAAGUUCCCAGGCCAGGGACUGAACCUGAACCUGCUCGAACCCGAGCCGCAGCAGUGCCAAUGCUAGAUCCCGAUGCAAGGUGACUCCCCCAAAACAAUUUUUUUAGGCUUCAAAGAAAAGUUGUUUCCUAAGUGUGGCCCUGUCCCCACAUACCUCCCCUGGGGCUGGAUUAGAAGGAUCGGGUGGUCCCCUUGGCUCCUUGGGGCAGGAGGGGGGCGGAGGGGGAGGCAGGCAGGGCUGGAAGCAGAAGGGCCCGUGGGACAGUCCGGGGCUCCCUGGAAAUGACUUGCAGCCUCACACACGCUAGGCUGCGGCUCGGGGAGGGGAAGGCAACUUGGGGCGAGCAGGAGGAGGAGGAGGAGAUCGGGAAAGAAGACCAAGAAGAGGAGUCCUGGGGCAGGGAGGGUGGCUUGAAAGGCUGUCUUCCACCUCCGACCAAGAAACAGCCCCCAAGCAGUUUGUUUUGUUUUUUGUUUUGUUUUUUUUGUCUUUUAUCUUUUUAGGGCCACACCUGCGGCAUAUGGAGGUCCCCAGGCUAGGGGAACUUACAUAUGCCGUGGGUUCAGCCCUAAAAAG
rnacentral:lncRNA from 1 species